UGUGUUUAUUGAUUUGUAUAAAAGUGAAAAUGUUUCAGUGCUGCUUCACAUGUUGAUUCAACAUUAAUGUGGAGACAACAGCAUCAGUGUGGGGUCAGUUAACAGAACGGCCUGCUAACAGUUCAUAAUACAAACAUGAUGAUGAAAGUCUUCACAGCUUUGAAACAUACAAUGAGAUACCGGAUAAUAGACGAGUGAGCUAAACCAAGAUAAUGAGAUAUGUGAUGAUGGGAGGAGAUAAAAUGACAGAGCUGCUGAUUUACCUGAGGGCUCCGGGGACGACGACUUCAGGGACCCCACAGGAGAGAGGCAUUCUGGGACACCACAGAGUCCUGCUGUGGUCUGCCCUUUAGUGUCUGGUCCUGGGGGGGCCCCUGUGAG